rfam:Acidobacteria bacterium 13_2_20CM_57_17 13_2_20cm_scaffold_651, whole genome shotgun sequence.
AACUUCACGGAUUACACUCGUGUUUCAAUUUGCAGGCAAGGGUAGCGGGGAAGGCCGUGUGAAUCGGCCGCGGUCCCGCCACUGUAAUCGGCUCAAAAGCCGUAAGCCAGGCCACCCUCCCGUGCCGCAGAGGGCCG